rnacentral:lncRNA from 1 species
UCGUAGAAAUGAAACUAAUAUAUUGAUUCAAUGGCAUAAUCUGUUACAUUGCAAUGCAAGUAUCAUCUAUUAGGAGUACAUCAAUUUCCUAGAAUAUGAAAUAUUUUAAAGCAUAUAAAUUACUAAAAUUCUGUGAACUGUCUUCACUCUCCUCCAAGUACCAAAGAUCAGCAUAAAUUAUCCAAGGAUCCAAGUAAUCACCUAGUAUUGAACUUCUCAUCAACCUACAAAGAAAAAAGCAUAAUACUAUUCAGUUAUAAAUUCGAAAUUUGAAGUCUAAAAAUAUACAUGCUAUGCAUUCUACGGAAAGGAUCCACAUAAAAAUACCACGUGUCCAAGAGAAGAUGUUUCGGAGAACAGACAUAAGCAUAUGUAUGUCUUACACAUAACUUAGUAGAGUUCAGAUUAAGACACUAAUGACGUGUUUGGUUCGCAGAAAAAUAGCGGUUCCUGAUUUCAAUGCUUCCUGAAACCAUACCAUUCACCUGCAAUGUCUUUUAUAGCUGUGGUUUCUGAUACAGGACUUCACAAAACUAAAAAUGCCCAGAUCAAAGCUGAUUGGAAAACUGGAACAUAUCUGCACCAACCAAAUGAAGCUUCCCAAUACGAUAAAAUCAAUACGUUUCUGGAGCCGAACGAAACAUGUCGCAGGCAUCUUUGAUCAAUCGGAUGUGCCUAGUAACUAUCAACAACCAUCAACAUGUAUUUACUACUAACAAUUAUCCAAAGAUUGUAUUAUAUUAAUAAUGAGAUGAAUUCGACAACCAACUAGGUGGUAAGUACUUAGAUAACAAUAAUAUCGACUAAAGAAUUGUCUUUCUAUUUUCCAAAGGACUCUGCACUAAUUAGUUUUGCUUUCUAUGAUGUAUUAAGAGAGAAAAUAUCGAUGCCAUCAGCUUGAAAACCGUCACACAAAACUGCGUAGUUACCUGAGAACUACAACUUCGGACAUUAGAAAUUUGCAAUCCAUGAGUGCAUUCUCAGAACCUGUAGAAGGAACAACAUGAAAAAGGAACACAUCAUCAGAUUUGGGGCAGUUGGCAUUGUUAACUGUGAAACGGAAAAGGGGUGUUGUUGGAUAACUUUCUAAUCCACUCUGCUUGCCAUCGUGCCCUAAUUAGUAUAGAAGAGAGGACAUGAGAGAAUAAUUCAUUAGAAGUUAGGAAAGAUAAAUCGGAGGUACCAUACUAGACUGAGCCGCUAUAGGAAGUUUGGUUCCACUCUGACUGCAACACCACCACAAUCUGAGAUGAGGACAUCAGACACAAACAAAUAUUUAGAAGAGAUGAGCCACGACUAUGGUCUUGGCCGCCCCAGAUGGGGCAUGAAUUCGUUUGGGCUUCUCUAGGAAAAAGUUUGGAUGUUUUGUUUCUAGAGAAAGUGAGAUUCAAGAUGUUUACAGAAGAAGAGAAAUUGAUUUGCCACUAGUUAAUUGUUGAAGACCAACCUAGUACAUAAGCUAAAUGCAUAUUUAUGAAAAUGCAUCAAAAGGAGACCUAUGUAAUGGCUGAACAGUCUGAAUAAAAGCAGACCAUGGCUGAUUAGUUUUUUUUAAUACUUACCUAGUUUUAAGAAAUACCACCCAUAAGCCAUUCCUGCCAAUGUGGCAUAUUAUAUAUCAAAAGAAUUUGAUCUUUGUGACCUUUUAGCUUCCUAAUGUUGUAUCAUUUGUCAUGCCAUUCAAUAACCG